AAAAGACUCUGGUCCAUCAAUUUCAACCUUCUAACAUAUCCUGUUUAACCUUUUAUUAUGUGUUGGCUUCCACCAUCAUGAUGAAAUAUUUUACAGGACAAAAACCAUUACAUUAGCUUACUGUAGAGGUCAUGGUUCAAAUAACCUUUAGGUGAUGUACCUUUGAUUUUGUUAAACCUUUUUAAAAUGGUUUGAUAAAAACCUGUGUUCUCCUGACACCCAAAACCUUCGACCCCUUUGCUGCUGCUAAAACCUGAAAGAAGUUUCACUUCUAUUUAAUUUACGCAAAUUCAGACAAUGAUCCCAGCUUAGCAUUCCUGUUCAAAUAUGCUUGACUGUAGGCAUCAGAAGAGCCGUGGAGUUUGUCAAACUUCUCAAAAAUGGUCUGAGACCAAGUGGUGGGAUGGAGCCUUCC